GGAUGGGUGUGAGGGAUAAGAGACUACACAGUGAGUACCGUGUACACUGCUCAGGCGAUGGGUGCACCAAAAUCUCAGAAAUCACCAUUAAAGAACUUUUCCAUGCAACCGAACA